rnacentral:snoRNA from 1 species
CGCAGCCUCAUCCAAUUCAGUGCCCGCCUGCUCUGUGGUGGGGGCUGGCCCAAAAGACUUGCCACAGCAACUGUAGCUCCUAGGCCCUGGGCUCCAUCUGUGAAUCCUGGGGAUAAAAUCACGCCCCAGACGCCC